rnacentral:rRNA from 1 species
UACGGAGGGUGCAAGCGUUGUUCGGAAUCACUGGGCGUAAAGCGCGUGUAGGCGGCUAUCUAAGUCUGAUGUGAAAGCCCUGGGCUCAACUCAGGAAGUGCAUUGGAUACUGGAUAGCUGGAGUACCGGAGAGGAGGGUGGAAUUCCUGGUGUAGCGGUGAAAUACGUAGAUAUCAGGAGGAACACCGGUGGCGAAGGCGUCCCUCUGGCCGGAUACUGACGCUGAGACGCGAAAGCGUGGGGAGCAAACAGG